rnacentral:rRNA from 1 species
CCUACGGGGGGCAGCAGUGGGGAAUAUUGGACAAUGGGCGCAAGCCUGAUCCAGCAAUGCCGCGUGUGUGAAGAAGGCCUGCGGGUUGUAAAGCACUUUAAGCAGGAAAGAAGGGGUGAAAGUUAAUACCUUUCAUCAUUGACGUUCCCUGCAGAAUAAGCACCGGCUAACUCCGUGCCAGCAGCCGCGGUAAUACGGAGCGUGAGUGCGUUAAUCGGAAUUACCGGGCGUGGUGUGCUCAUAGGGGGGUGAAAGCCCUGGGCUUAACCUGGGAACUGCGGUGGAUACUGUCGGGCUAGAGUGUGGUAGAGGGGAGUGGAAUUUCCGGUGUAGCAGUGAAAUGCGUAGAGAUCGGAAGGAACACCAGUGGCGAAGGCGGCUCCCUGGACUAACACUGACGCUGAGGUGCGAAAGCGUGGGGAGCAAACAGGAUUAGAUACCCGUGUAGUC